GACGAACGCUGGCGGCGUGCUUAACACAUGCAAGUCGAACGAUGAAGCCGGAGCUUGCUCCGGUGGAUUAGUGGCGAACGGGUGAGUAACACGUGAGCAAUCUGCCCUUGACUCUGGGAUAACUGCGGGAAACUGUAGCUAAUACCGGAUACGACACCUUGGGGCAUCCCAGGGUGUGGAAAGAAUUUCGGUCAAGGAUGAGCUCGCGGCCUAUCAGCUAGUUGGUGAGGCAGUGGCUCACCAAGGCGACGACGGGUAGCCGGCCUGAGAGGGUGACCGGCCUCACUGGAACUGAGACACGGUACAGACUCCUACGGGAGGCAGCAGUGGGGGAUAUUGCACAAUGGGCGCAAGCCUGAUGCAGCAACGCCGCGUGAGGGAUGACGGCCUUCGGGUUGUAAACCUCUUUUAGUAGGGAAGAAGCGAAAGUGACGGUACCUGCAGAAAAAGCACCGGCUAACUACGUGCCAGCAGCCGCCGUAA
rnacentral:rRNA from 1 species